UACGAAGGGGGCAAGCGUUGUUCGGAAUGACUGGGCGUAAAGGGCGCGUAGGCGGUUCGUUGCGUCAGAUGUGAAAGCCCCGGGCUCAACCUGGGAACUGCAUUUGAUACGGGCGGGCUUGAAUCCAAGAGAGGGUGGUGGAAUUCCCAGUGUAGAGGUGAAAUUCGUAGAUAUUGGGAAGAACACCAGUGGCGAAGGCGGCCACCUGGCUUGGUAUUGACGCUGAGGCGGCGAAAAGCGUGGGGAGCAAACAGG
rnacentral:rRNA from 1 species